CAUCUACUCCCUCCGUUCCAAAUUACUCGUCGCGGAAAUGGAUGUAUCUAGAACUAAAAUACAUCUAGAUACAUCCAUUUCUUCGACGAGUAAUUCGAAAAGGAGGGAGUAGCUA
rfam:Triticum aestivum genome assembly, contig: Triticum_aestivum_CS42_TGACv1_scaffold_306642_4AS